rnacentral:misc_RNA from 1 species
GCAGAAGGAUCAUUAGUGAAGAUUUGGGCAGGCCAUACGGACGCCAAAAAGUGUCCCUGGCCGCCUACACCCACUAUACAUCCACAAACCCGUGUGCACUGUCUUGAAAAAAGGCUCAGAGAAGUUUUUUGUGGCCUCUCUUGGGGUCUUUCUUCGCUACAAACUCGAAUGGUUAGUAUGAACGUGGAACUUGGUUGGACCGUCACUGGCCAACAAACUAUACACAACUUUCGACAACGGAUCUCUUGGUUCUCCCAU